UCUUCUCUGACGCGGACAUUUUUCCGUCCGCACGUUAACGCGUCAACAGAUAAACUAAAACGUAUUGGUAUAACGAUAUAGGCCUCGAGGUUACGCAGCGAUCAUGCGCUCGUUUGAAAAUCACACGGAGAAUCACUUUUCUCUAUAAAAAUGAAUAAUCAAUAACAUUGCAAAAAAAGACACGAUAUUUCUUUUACAAUAUUAAUACUUUUAAUAAAAUCACAAGAUCACAUGCAGGUAAAUACUUCUCGUAAAUUCGCAUAACGAACUUGUGUAAUGAACGGGUGUGGUGAACGAAGGAUAACGAGAAUAGAUACGGUGCUACAAUGAAAGAAGAAAGAAAUGAAAAGAAAAGAAAAAAAAGGUAUAGAAGACAAUUACACACAAAUAUUCGACUUACAUG